rnacentral:tRNA from 1 species
GAAGAGAUGGUUGAGAAGACCAAAGUGACAAAUCACUAAUCCAUAGUACGGAUCAUCUGUACCGGGGGUUCGAAUCCCUCUGUCUUCG